rnacentral:rRNA from 1 species
UGGGCAACCUGCCCUGUACUGUGGAAUAAUCAUUGGAAACGAUGACUAAUACCGCAUGUGGUCCUCGGAAGGCAUCUUCUGAGGAAGAAAGGAUUUAUUCGGUACAGGAUGGGCCCGCAUCUGAUUAGCUAGUUGGUGAGAUAACAGCCCACCAAGGCGACGAUCAGUAGCCGACCUGAGAGGGUGAUCGGCCACAUUGGGGCUGAGACACGGCCCAA